AAAAAAAAUCCUUAGCUCAGAAGCGAGCGAGUCACCGUAUCAGACAGAACGCUCCUGCGUAAUAUACGCUCUGAGUUAACAUUUCUGGUUUUAUUGACUUACGAAGACCACCCGCUGACCAUGUCGCUACCCGAAAGUGGAAAUACUCCAACAUAUAUAUAUAUACAGUCGUGGCCAACUAAUUAGGGACAAUCUCUAGUUAAGCCAAAUUGUGAAUUUUUUUUUUAUUUUCCAUCGAGUCUUAGCUAUAUUCCAUAUCUUUUACAUGUAAGUGUAAUUAGUCUUUUAAGUGCGCGAUUAUACAAACAAUAACAACUUCUUAAACAUUAAACCUCUUUACAGUAUAGCUGAUACAAUAUCAUAGUGCUAUUGGUUCAAAGAAUGCUGGCUGGCCAUUUAAUUAGGGACACUGAGGUAUUGCGUUCUAAUUUCAAAAUUGGAAUUUUAAUACUUUUUUGUUUCUUUUCUUAUUGUUUAGUGGUCGUUUUGGCGGCAAUCCAGAUUUUUUAUUUUAAGUUUUGAGAAUUAUUUUGAAGAAAAAUGGCCAAAAAUAAAAGUUGCGAUCCAACACUACGAAAAAUUAUCGUUAUCGUUAAAAAUAAAAGUUUAUCGAGCGUGGUUGGUCAUACCGAAGGAUAGCACAACAUUUAAAUUGUUUAAAAACUAUGGUAUGCAAUGCAGUGCAACAUUUCAAGCGCUAUAACACAGCUUCAAAUGUGUCCAGAACAAAAAGAUCGAGAAAAACGACUCCGCAAGAAGAUAGAAUGAUAACCAGGCUAGCUAAGAAAGAUCCGUUUCUAGGCUCUUUUUUAAUUAAACACGAAGUGUUUGGGGCCAACGAAAGAGCCGGUGUAUCUGCGAGGACCGUUCGACGACGUUUGGUAGAAGCAGGGUUGUUCGGAAGAGUGGCUCGCAAAGUACCGUUGUUGAAGAAACAACAUAGAAAUGCUCGUUUGGCAUUUGCACGUAAAUAUGGACAUUGGACCUACGCCCAAUGGCAACAUGUACUUUUCUCUGACAAGACCAAGGUUAAUUUGAUUUCUUCAGAUGGAAGACAAUAUGUACGGCGUCCUGUAAAAGCGGAAAUGAAUCCAAGAUUCACAAAAAAACGGGUGAAACAUGGCGGUGGAAACAUUAAAAUAUGGGGUUCAUUUUCUGGACGUGGAGUGGGGCCUGUGAGGAAAGUUUAGGGUAACUUAGACCAACAUCAAUAAAAGGCAAUAUUGGAUGAAACUAUGCUUCCCUAUGCUGAGGAGCAUCUCCCUAUUAUAUGGACGUUUCAGCAGGAUAACGACCCGAAACAUACCGCCCAUUCAGUCAAGUCGUUUCUUACCAGUCAGUUUGUAUCGGUGCUAGAUUGGCCAGCAAAUAGCCCGGACCUUAACCCAAUUGAGCACCUUUGGCACGAAAUCAAGAAAAAAGUUGCCACUUAUCGUAAUACAAAUUUGGAUGAACUUCAUGAAGCUUUUUGUGAGGCAUGGGCAAACAUUCCUGUCGAAACAUGUCAGAAACUGAUAAUGUCUAUGCCACAUCGGUGUCAAGCGGUAAUUACUAACAAAGGUUUUGCUACUGUGUACUGAUUUUACACGUAAUAAAAUGGAGCUGUUAAAAAUAUUAUAACACUGAAGAUUAUAAGUUUUGUGUAACUGUAUUUUUCAUUAUAGUUUACUGUCCUUAAUUAAAUGUCCACUACAGAAUUGUACCUUAAUAUUUAAUACAUGUUUAAUCUUUGAUAUUAAAUACUUUUUCUAUUUAUUAAAUCUUUUAUUUACAGCCAUUUAUAGCAUAAUAAUCGGAUCACAUUAUGCAAAUAAUAGGUGCUGAGAAAUCAAUAGGGUUUUAUAUUUAAAUGUACAUAACCGGUUAUAGCCCUUCACUAUCUUAAAUGUCCCUAAUUAGUUGACCACGACUGUAUAUACCUAGUCAGGUCAUAAAUUCUGUCACAUGUUUAAUGUAAAAUAAUUGAAACAAGUUUAUUCAUUAUGUAACCAUUCAUAUACCAAAAUAAACUUAACAAAACAUAGAUUCUUAUGACACUAAAGUUUAUUCAAAAUGACCUCCGUGAUUUUAAAUACAGGCCUUCAAUCUGCGCGGCUAGUCAUUUAUCGCAGCACAAACGAGGUCCAUGUCAAUAUCGGCGGCUGCCUUAAUCAAGGAUGUCUUGAGUGACUCCAAAUUGGGAUGAGGCUUUGAGCUCGCCUUUUCCUCCAAGUGUAGUCAUAUCUUGUAAUCUAACGGAUUCAAAUCUGGACUGGAGGAGGGCCAGUCUUCGUGCCGGAUGAAGUCGAUUUCACGCGCCGCCAGCCAGUCUUGUGUGCUCUUCGCUCUAUGAUCUGGCGCCGAAUCUUGUUGGAAUACCCAGUGCCUGUUAUUGAACAUGGUAUGAGAAACAGGUUCCACAAGGUUCGUCAGGACUGUAUUUUGAUACACAACUGCAUUCGUUUUUACACCUUUCUCACAAAAAUGUACCUCUGUUAAGCCCCAAUAAGAAACUGCCAACCAUACCAUGAGCGAGGAUGGAAAAUGACCUCGUUGGACACGCGGAAUACGGUUGCUCGCUUCUUCACUACUGUGUGCGUACACCUUAUCAUUUUGUUUGUUGUAGUUCUCUUCUACGGUAAAAUUUUUUUCAUCCGAAAAAAGAAUUUCCCGAUAUUUUUUUCCCGCAUACCGCUUCAACAAAGCGCGGCAUCUCUUCAGUCUCAGGUCCAUUAGACGAGCAUUCAAACGAUGUCCUGUUUUUCUUCGGUAUGCCCGAAGCCCUAAGUCUUCAUUUAACACCCUUUUCACCGUGGUUCUGCUUAACCCCAUCUGAAGGGCCAACAGUUUCUGCUUAUCUUUGAAUUCGCGCCUUCACGGCUUUUAUCACUGCUGGAGUCCUAACAGACCGAGAGCGACCACUUCUUGACCUGUCAUCUACACUAGAGUCUUCAUUGUAUCGUUUGAUGGUACGAUAAACGAAUCUUUUGGUUAUAUUCAAAUUUUUCAGUAUGUUAAAAAUUUGAAUUGGCGCGUAACCGCAACGAUGCAACGCAAUAACUGCAACACGGUCUUCUUUAAGCGUCCACUCCAUAUUUAAAAAAGAGUAAAAUUCUAAAAGUAUACAUUUUUAUUUUCAUGAACAAUUCGAAAUUCGAAUUCAAUAAACUUUUUUGUGGCCAGCAUUCUAAAAGAAAAGUUUUUACUGUGUGACAGUACUUAUGACCUGACUAGUUAUAUAUUAUAUAAAUAAGUAUUGGAAUAAAGGGUUAAUUAACGGCUGUUUUCAAUAACAUAUCUAUCCGUAGUUUUGAUUACCAAAGAUAGAAAAAUAUAUCCUUUUGUCCUUACUUGCGUUUCAAUAACCUAUCGACGGCUAGCAGUUCCUAUCGAAUUUAUCUAUCCAUCGUCGGAAGGACGGAUAGCCUACUAAAGAUAGAAGACUCAUACAAAUCGUGCUUACUCCCGUUUUAAUAUUAGUUUUAAGUAACUCUCCGAUAGGCAACCCCAUCUCUAGUAAGGGCAUUCGCUUAUCUGUCAAAAUCGACCGGUUCAUGUUUACCUUUUCAAAAUAAUUCGUUAUAAUUUAAUUAAUGUUUCUUUUCAUAAUGGCAUAUUGUAGCAGUGAUGAUAGUGAUAUGGAAUUAUUUCAAAUGAUGAUAGAUUGUAAUGCAGAUAGUGAUCAUAUCUUACGGUUAAAGGAAAAUAAAGAACGUCUGAAUUGAUGGCUAAGUCGACUACGACUUUGCUUAUAGAUUUCUGAGCCAAGGUGUUGGGAAAUGAAUUGACUAAUUAAAUAAGACCAUAUUUGGGUGUAACAUCAAAGAGGAAAGAUAAAUUUAAACCAUAAAAGUAGUCGUUAUUACAACUUAUAUUUUUGUUGUGUUACAAAAUCACACUCAACAGGAAUUGUAAAAUAUAAUAUUGCUCGAUUCCAUAUACAUAUGCAAUAUAUGACAUUCAUAUACUAAUAAAAUAACCUGGUAGGUUAUUUACCUUCAUUCUUAUUAUAUGCAUACUGAUAUCUCUACAUUUUACAUGUGUUACAGAUUCAAAUAUGGGAGAGGAAUUGAGAAAUAGAAAAUGAGUAUUUUCCAUGAAUGUGCAAGUUGAGUGCAAUGCAUCAUUGAUGUUGUUCGGUGGCCUGGGUCUACUCAUGAUGCAAUUGUAUUUAACCAUUCUGAUUGUAAAAGUAUAUUCUUAUUUAGGUGUUCAUAUGAAUUUAUGCUUGUGUUAAUAUGACACUAUUAUAAUAAAUGAUCUACAUAUCAAGAGAACAUUGAGAACAAGGUGUACUUGGAAAUUGCCGGUUGCAUGGUGAUAGUGUCCCACAACCCUAUCUUUUAUCUCCAUUAAUUAACCCACAUACUCAGUCGGAACGAUUAUAUAAUGAAUCACACAUUAAAUCCAAGAAAUGCUAUAGAGAGUUGCAUUGGUGUUUGUAAAAGAAGAUUCUCUGUAUUAUUAUUGAAAAGUUGAUUAAAACUAGAAGAUAUGCAAGCUGUCAUUACAGUCACUGCCAUGCUGCAUAAUAUCGUCAGGAGUAUGAAUUUAGAAGAAUUAGAAUCGAAAAUUUCUGUCCCAGAUACGUUACAGGAAAAUAAUAUAAUUCGGUCGGUCGUAUAAAUCGGUACGGACUAACCAGCGGAGAAAGAAAGCCACAGGUGCGUAAAACCUGGACCCUGAUGGAGAGCAGCGGUAGCCAUGGGUACCAAAGUGAAAUGAAAGAACCAUAUGUUCUGAACUAAUUCACUCUUGGAUUACUAUAGUCACUGAGGCUAUAGUACCGCGAUGUAGAAAGUAACGGGAACCUACUACUUUAUUAAUCCCAUGAGAGUUGCAAUGAUGAGUAAGAAAACAGACGAUGUAAGACAACCCAAUAGAAGUAGGACAUCAGGUCAGAAAUGGUAGCAAUAUUGAGAGCUAUGUUGUUACGUUGUAACAAAGUUCUAAAAAUAUAAUGGUGGGCACAUCGGUGCCAUCAGAGGCUGCAUUCGGAAGCGGCGCAGGUAAUGACUCAACAAAGGAAUAGAUUAAAGGGUAAAAGAUUAGGUAAAAUUUUGUUUUUACAAAGUAUAGAUAAAAAUAUUGGCAUAUAUAUUAAAAAUAAAUGUUAAGGUAAUAAAGUAAUUUUAAUACA